rnacentral:rRNA from 1 species
GGGAUUAGUGGCGAACGGGUGAGUAACACGUGAGUAACCUGCCCUUGACUCUGGGAUAAGCCUGGGAAACUGGGUCUAAUACCGGAUACGACCAUCUGACGCAUGUCAUGGUGGUGGAAAGCUUUUGCGGUUUUGGAUGGACUCGCGGCCUAUCAGCUUGUUGGUGGGGUAAUGGCCUACCAAGGCGACGACGGGUAGCCGGCCUGAGAGGGUGACCGGCCACACUGGGACUGAGACACGGCCCAGACUCCUACGGGAGGCAGCAGUGGGGAAUAUUGCACAAUGGGCGAAAGCCUGAUGCAGCGACGCCGCGUGAGGGAUGACGGCCUUCGGGUUGUAAACCUCUUUCAGUAGGGAAGAAGCGAAAGUGACGGUACCUGCAGAAGAAGCGCCGGCUAACUACGUGCCAGCAGCCGCGGUAAUACGUAGGGCGCAAGCGUUAUCCGGAAUUAUUGGGCGUAAAGAGCUCGUAGGCGGUUUGUCGCGUCUGCUGUGAAAGACCGGGGCUCAACUCCGGUUCUGCAGUGGGUACGGGCAGACUAGAGUGCAGUAGGGGAGACUGGAAUUCCUGGUGUAGCGGUGAAAUGCGCAGAUAUCAGGAGGAACACCGAUGGCGAAGGCAGGUCUCUGGGCUGUAACUGACGCUGAGGAGCGAAAGCAUGGGGAGCGAACAGGAUUAGAUACCCUGGUAGUCCAUGCCGUAAACGUUGGGCACUAGGUGUGGGGGACAUUCCACGUUUUCCGCGCCGUAGCUAACGCAUUAAGUGCCCCGCCUGGGGAGUACGGCCGCAAGGCUAAAACUCAAAGGAAUUGACGGGGGCCCGCACAAGCGGCGGAGCAUGCGGAUUAAUUCGAUGCAACGCGAAGAACCUUACCAAGGCUUGACAUGAACCGGAAAGACCUGGAAACAGGUGCCCCGCUUGCGGUCGGUUUACAGGUGGUGCAUGGUUGUCGUCAGCUCGUGUCGUGAGAUGUUGGGUUAAGUCCCGCAACGAGCGCAACCCUCGUUCUAUGUUGCCAGCGCGUUAUGGCGGGGACUCAUAGGAGACUGCCGGGGUCAACUCGGAGGAAGGUGGGGACGACGUCAAAUCAUCAUGCCCCUUAUGUCUUGGGCUUCACGCAUGCUACAAUGGCCGGUACAAAGGGUUGCGAUACUGUGAGGUGGAGCUAAUCCCAAAAAGCCGGUCUCAGUUCGGAUUGGGGUCUGCAACUCGACCCCAUGAAGUCGGAGUCGCUAGUAAUCGCAGAUCAGCAACGCUGCGGUGAAUACGUUCCCGGGCCUUGUACACACCGCCCGUCAAGUCACGAAAGUUGGUAACA